CAACGACUCUCGGCAACGGAUAUCUCGGCUCUCGCAUCGAUGAAGAACGUAGCGAAAUGCGAUACUUGGUGUGAAUUGCAGAAUCCCGUGAACCAUCGAGUCUUUGAACGCAAGUUGCGCUUGAAGCCAUUAGGCUAAAGGCACGUCUGCCUGGGCGUCACGC
rnacentral:rRNA from 2 species